AUGGAGCAGCAGCCCGCCACCGACACCGCGCUUGCCAGGCACCACAACGCCCACGUCUCAGGGGAGCUGAUCGAUAAUUUUCUGCAGACCAUUGCUAACCAGCUAACUAUCUAUGGUCUCUUCUGCUUACAAGAGGGACUUAACGAAAGAGAGCUUUGUGUCUUCUUCCAUAACAACCACUUCAACACUAUGUUCAAGGUUCUAACUGUUUCUGCUGAUAAAACUGUGAAAGUAAGGGAUAUCAUGGAAGAUGCAAGUGGGAAAUUGAAUAGAACUUUGGCUUGUCCUGGUACAGGAGGUGUGGACGACAUGCUUAGUGUUGGAUAUGGUGGCAGAUUGAUGCGCAAGGACAAUACCCAGAUCAAAUGCUUUGCUGCAGUAGAACAAGAGCUUGUUACCUCAGGGGGUGUGCUGAGAGCCAUGUUUGAAUUUGGCAUUAUUCUAGUUUACUUUUACAUCUGUGAUCGGACAAGCAUUUUUGCAGAAAGCAAGAAGCUCACUAUGUUAACAGAAGAGCUUUUAGCAACUGCAAAGCAAGCUGAGAGUGCCCAGAACAUUGCAGGUUUAUCACCGCCGAGUUAUUCAGCUGGAGUGCAGUCAGAGGUGGACCCAGAUAAUGUGAGGUUGCUUGAGGAAGAAGCGGCUGAUGCUUUGCGACAAGCUGAAGAGGAAGCUGAAGCCACAAAAAUGGCAAUAAAGAGGAAAAUUGAACAAGCAGCCACAUCUGAUUUUCAGGCGCGGAGCUUGCCUGUCAAACUUCGUAUCGAACCAAGUGAUCCUGAGGAUGUUAAAGCUGCAAAGCGUAAGAAAAUACAUGCUUUCAAAUUGAAAGCCCGCUUUGAGCAACUUGAAUUUGCACAAAACAAGCGGCAGAAUGCAUGGCAGCAGUUUCAAACGACCAAGGGGAAAGCUAAAAAGGUGGGGUUCUUCUCUGGUCGCAAGGAAAGCAUCUUCAAGUCACCCGACGAACCACAGAGGUCAGGUGGGUGUCACUGGGAGCGGCAAAGGCCUGACUGAUGAUUUCCAGAGGAGGGAAAAGCAUCUGCACCUCACUUAAUUUCCAUGUCUGGGGUUUAUUCCAUGUUCUGUAUGUUCAACUUGUUGAAUCUAGAAAUCUCACAUUUUUUUUAAAAAAGAUACUCUGCUGGAAAACAUGGUCCACCUGUCUUUUUUUUAUAAAACAUGGCCCACCUGUUAGGACGGCUCCCAUUGGUGCUAAUUAAGUGGACCUGGGCACCCUUCUAUUCUGUCUGGGCCGAGCCCGUGCUCCUCC